rnacentral:rRNA from 1 species
UACAGAGGGUGCAAGCGUUAAUCGGAAUUACUGGGCGUAAAGCGUGCGUAGACGGUUAUCUAAGUCGGGUGUGAAAGCCCCGGGCUCAACCUGGGAAUUGCAUUCGAUACUGGAUAGCUAGAGUUCGGCAGAGGGAAGUGGAAUUUCCGGUGUAGCGGUGAAAUGCGUAGAUAUCUGGAGGAACACCGGUGGCGAAGGCGACAUCCUGGACCGGUAUUGACGCUGAGGCGCGAAAGCCAGGGGAGCAAACGGG